rnacentral:rRNA from 1 species
AUUGAACGAUGGCGGCAGGCCUAACACAUGCAAGUCGAACGAGCGGCGGACGGGUGAGUAAUGUCUGGGAAACUGCAUGAUGGAGGGGGAUAACUACUGGAACCGGUAGCUAAUACCGCAUACCAUCAGAUGUGCCCAGAUGGGAGUAGCUAGUCGGUGGGGUAAUGGCUCACCUAGGCGACGAUCCCUAGCUGGUCUUAGAGGAUGACCAGCCACACUGGAACUGAGACACGGUCCAGACUCCUACGGGAGGCAUCAGUGGGGAAUAUUGCACAAUGGGCGCAAGCCUGAUUCAGCCAUGCCGCGUGUGUGAAGAAGGCCUUCGGGUUGUAAAGCACUUUCAGCGAGGAGGCGUUACUCGCAGAAGAAGCACCGGCUAACUCCGUGCCAGCAGCCGCGGUAAUUC